CACCGCCCGUCACACUAUGGGAGCUGGCCAUUCCGAAGUCGUUACCUUAACCGCAAGGAGGGGGAUACCGAAGGCAGGGCUAGUGACUGGAGUGAGUUGUAACAAGGAAGCUGUACUGGAAGGUGCGGCUG
rnacentral:ncRNA from 1 species